AUAAAACUAGAACACCACCUCCCAUUUCAUUUGCAACAUUUAACCAAAGAAAACAUUUUCUUUCUCUCCCUCUCCUCCCUUGUUUACGGCUCAACAUCACCAUCAUCAUCUACCCAUUUUUAAAAUCCAAACAAGUGUUUUAAGGGUAUUCAAGAGCAUUUCAAGGUGAUCUAAGGUGGUUACAAGCAUAAGGGAUCAUCAAGGAUACUAGCUUGCAAGGAUUGGAGCUUUCUUUUCUUCAUAUUCUUCAAAAGUUCUUCCAUAGCCUUGUGCUAGUUGUUGGGUGCAAACAGGAACACAACGGAUUGCUAGCACUAUAGCACCGAAAACAAGCUGGAAAUAAGAAACAUUGCAUGGUUAGGAAGUCAAGGACAAGAGUUACAAGAACGAUGCCUUUUGGAGGGUUUGCCUCAUAUAUCCCGCCCUCAUGUGGAAUAUAGGUGUCAAAGCCUCGUUUAAAAUAUCUAUAUUUUGGUUAAGACCAUUUUAUGAACAUGAAGUACUCGGUUUAUAUUUGUGAACAAAACACUUUGAUCUUGUAUUUUUAACUCAAGUAAUAUAUAUUUGGCAUCUUGUUUAUUUUUAAUCA